GUCUAUGGCCAUGCUACCCUGAACAUGCCUGAUCUUGGAAGCUAAGCAGGGUCAGGCAUGCUUAGUACUUGGAUGGGAGACCACCUAGGAAUACCAGGUGCUGUAGCUG
rnacentral:rRNA from 1 species